rnacentral:sRNA from 1 species
GCCGGGCAUGGUGGUGGGCGCCUGUAGUCCCAGCUACUCGGGAGGCUGAGGCAGGAGAAUGGCGUCAACCCGGGAGGCGGAGCUUGCAGUGAGCUGAGAUCCGGCCACUGCACUCCAGCCUGGAGACUCCGUCUCAAAAAAAAAAAAAAAAAAAAAGGUUGGUUUUUUUUUUUUUUUGAGACAGAGUCUCGCUCUGUUGCCCAGGCUGGAGUGCAAUGCCAUGAUCUUGGCCCAGUGCAACCUCUGCCUCCCAGGUUCAAGCGAUUCUCCUGCCUCAG